GUCAAUGCGGCGCAGCUGUCUCUGCCAUUUACAGAAGGACACGUGGACGGCAGAAAUUGAUAGAAGAGAGAUGGACGGCCAGAACUUCACGGGGUUGCUCGGGGAAUAGAGUUUACGAGAGGGCCGACUCGGGAAGCCUUGCUUUCUGUACGUGAAGCCAUGUACAGGGAUGGCAGAGCAAUAUCUACUAUGCCCCUACUUUGGUUUUUUUAUUUUUUUUGGGGGGUUACAAAUCUUUAACCAUUAAAGUAAGGGCCCUCCCAAUCUUAUAACAAAGUAAGCGCCCCUCCCAGUUUUAUUAAAGAGAAAAGUUUAUAUAGAACAGAGGUUCUAAACAAUCAAAUUUGAGCCUAACUCAAAAAUUU
rnacentral:lncRNA from 1 species